UACGUAGGUGGCGAGCGUUGUCCGGAUUUAUUGGGCGUAAAGGGCGCGCAGGUGGUGCGGUAAGGCUGCCGUGAAAUCUCCCGGCUCAACUGGGAGGGUGCGGUGGCGACUGCCGGACUGGAGGCACUCAGAGGCCGGUGGAAUUCCCGGUGUAGUGGUGAAAUGCGUAGAUAUCAGGAGGAACACCAAUGGCGAAGGCAGCUCGCUGGGACGUGACUGACGCUGAGACGCGAAAGCGUGGGAGCAAACAGG
rnacentral:rRNA from 1 species